rnacentral:rRNA from 1 species
UACGUAGGGGGCAAGCGUUGUCCGGAAUCAUUGGGCGUAAAGAGCGUGUAGGCGGCCCGAUAAGUCCGCUGUGAAAGUCCAGGGCUCAACCCUGGAAUGCCGGUGGAUACUGUCGGGCUCGAAUCCGGAAGAGGUGAGUGGAAUUCCUGGUGUAGCGGUGAAAUGCGCAGAUAUCAGGAGGAACACCAAUGGCGAAGGCAGCUCACUGGGACGGUAUUGACGCUGAGAACGCGGAAAGCGUGGGGAGCGAACAGG